GAUGAACGCUGGCGGCGUGCCUAAUACAUGCAAGUCGAGCGAACGGACGAGAAGCUUGCUUCUCUGAUGUUAGCGGCGGACGGGUGAGUAACACGUGGAUAACCUACCUAUAAGACUGGGAUAACUUCGGGAAACCGGAGCUAAUACCGGAUAAUAUUUUGAACCGCAUGGUUCAAAAGUGAAAGACGGUCUUGCUGUCACUUAUAGAUGGAUCCGCGCUUCAUUAGCUAGUUGGUAAGGCAACGGCUUACCAAGGCAACGAUGCAUAGCCGACCUGAGAGGGUGAUCGGCCACACUGGAACUGAGACACGGUCCAGACUCCUACGGGAGGCAGCAGUAGGUAAUCUUCCGCAAUGGGCGAAAGCCUGACGGAGCAACGCCGCGUGAGUGAUGAAGGUCUUCGGAUCGUAAAACUCUGUUAUUAGGGAAGAACAUAUGUGUAAGUAACUGUGCACAUCUUGACGGUACCUAAUCAGAAAGCCACGGCUAACUACGUG
rnacentral:rRNA from 1 species